UUUGAAAUAUGUAGCAACCCACUGAAAUGCAUCAACAAUGUUUAAGAUACUUCUUUACCAAUAAUGAGGAAAAAAAAUUGUAUUAAUUAACCCAAAUAUUUCCAGACAACCGUCAACAUACACUGAUAAAAGGGAUCAAAAAAUAGAAUAGCCAUUUAUAGUUGAAAUACAGAGAAUCCUUUUCUUAUCUCUCACAUACUGUAUUUGCAUAGUGAACAAAGAAUUAUUGAAUAAGUUUAUACAAUCAUGGAAAGGUCAACACAUUUUCUAGAAGUUCUCCUUAACUAUUUUGAUAUAAGCUAAGUUGCCAAUUGCCCAAACAAAAAGUGGAUUACCCUUAACAGAUUUAUUCUCAGCGAAAUGGGUAAAAUUAAGAUCAUCACACCAGGUAAGUUAUGCCAGAUAUUCUGAGUGUUUCAAGAAGUUUGUUUUCUCCACUCCUCGAAUCAUGUCUUAAAGAAUUUUAAAGAUAAACACUUCAGUAGAAGAGCACAGUACAAGUCCACCCAACCCUUCUACAUUCACUAUUAUAUUUGUCCCCUCUCCUAGUCAAGACUAUCUUUUCCCUCAUUUAUGUGAAACAAGACGAAAGAAUAAAUUCUCAUUCCCCUCUUCUGGUAACACAAAUGAAAAUGCCAAAAUUAAGCAGUAUUACGGAACACAACAAAAAGUUUGCAAUAAAAAAUAUAUUCCAUGCUCACCUUCUGUUAGUUUCACCAAUUCUUACUUGGGCUCCAUAUGAAAAAAUUUUCUUAACAGUUCCCUCCAGCAGUGUUCCCUCCUGAAGGUUUAACAUUU
rnacentral:misc_RNA from 1 species